AGGCCCGGAAACGGAUCGCGUUGGGUGAAGGUGACGGCGUCGAGCGUGUCCAAAAGUGACUUCCUGACUCCCUAGAUGCAUUCCCCUGCAGUCCUGCACAUCUCAGAUGAGCGGGACCAUGUAUUUCGUGGGACUUUCAAAUAUAUAAGAUUUUACAUUGUGUGGGAGAAAAAUGUUUGACAGCAUCUGCCCUGCCUGAUCUGCCCUCCCAGGACCUCUCUGACCUCAUCUCCUGCCUGUGUCCUCCUCGCUCCCUCUGCUCCAGCCAAGCAUGCGUCCUUCCUGUUCCUGGGCCGAGCUUGCUCCUGCCUCAAGGCCUUCACGUGGGCUGUGCCUCUGCUGGAACUCGCUGGCCCCUCAGCUGCAGCAUUGACUUCCAAAGACUCCUGGCACAUGAGGAAGAAACCCAGAAGAGGAGAGCAAAGGAGUCAGGAAUGGCUUUUACUCAGUUGACAUUCAGGGACGUGGCCAUCGAAUUCUCUCAAGAUGAGUGGAAAUGCCUGA
rnacentral:lncRNA from 1 species